rnacentral:snRNA from 1 species
AUGCUUUGGCAGCGCAUAUACUAAAACUGGAACAAUACAGAGAAGAUUGGCAUGGCCCCUGUGCAAAGAUGAGCUGCAAGUUCAAAAAAUUAAAAAAAAAAAA